rnacentral:lncRNA from 1 species
CGCUUCAUGUCUUUAUUGAAUAGGUUUAAAUAUGAAGACAUUAUUGGUGAGAAAACAAAAAAAACAAACAUAUAGUGGACAAGAAAUAAGUCACCACGAUCAUCUUACUUUUUCAACCUAACACAUUUCAGAAUACACAAGCAAUUUUUACACUUUUAAUCUUACAAUCAUCUUUUAUUCUACCAUAGUAUCAAAUACUUGUAAAAAUAAAUAAAAAUAAAAUACAUGAUGCACAGGAAGUUUUUUUUUUAAACUGAACUAUUGCACAAAUCAAUGUGAGAAUAUGCAAGUAAUGUAAAAAUGCAUUUAAAUAUAUUGUCACAACAUAUUUCGUAAGUCAUAAAUCUAUUUCACCUACUGUUUAUAAUCUCUGGGCUCUGGAACUAGAUGAUUUCUUACUAACUCAUCUCCAUAUGGUACAUUAUAACAUUUAUUUACUACUGUAAAAUUCAGUGAGAAACAAAUGUGUGCCAAGUAUCUAACCUUUCUUUGAACAGACAAAAAAUUGUGGUUUUAAAAAAAUACUUUAAAAAAAAGUUGUAAGUUCUUCGUACGAUUUGUAACACAAGUGAUUUAAAUGGAAAUCUAAUAUGUGCAUUCGUCUUCUAAAUUCAUUACAGCUUAUUUCAGUUGAUGGACUAUUUGUUUGUUUUGACCAAUAUGACUGAAUAAAGAUAACUGAGGGGAAAAAAAAAUAACUAAUCAGGAAAGAAACUGUAAGUAAAAUGACAAUUCCUAUUAAGUUUAUAACUCCUGCCCAAACUAAACAAAGCUAAUAAGUUUUAGAGAAAUUAUAAGCCAGAAAUCUUUACAUUGUGUCUUAUAGUUGAUCAGAAUCAUAAACAAAAAGCUAGGAAUUAUAUAAAAAAAUUGCUUGUACCUUUACAGUAAGAUCAAAGCUCUCUUAGGUUUGAUUGAAUAGAAAUUACUACAGAAUUACUGCCAUCAAGGAAAUUUACUACUAACUACUAUGCUAUACUGAAAGUGACAAUGGUUAAGAGCUGUGUCGUGAUCAGGUUAAAGAGAAAAAAUAAUUAAAUUUGUGUGUAUGUUUAAUUAGAUGUCAGUUAUGCAUUAAAA